ACUGGCCUCCGUGUUCCUCAGCUCAGUCUUAGUGACACUCAGCUCCACCACCACUGGCCUCCGUGUUCCUCAGCUCAGUCUUAGUGACACUCCGCUCCACCACUGGCCUCCGUGUUCCUCAGCUCAGUCUUAGUGACACUCCGCUCCACCACCACUGGGUGACCUUACCUCAUAGCAGGUCAUUUGAAUGUGUCACUGUAAAAAGCUGUGUGUUAACUCCAUGUGUUAUUCAGUUGAAGCCCCUUUUUGUUUUUGAUCUGUCUAUUAUCACCACCUCUCCUGUAGGGAACAGAAAAGCUGUGCAGUUGAACUCACAAAACAGGUGAGAGAAAUCAAACUGUAUUGGUCACAUACACGUGUUUAGCAGAUGUUAAUGUGGGUGUAGCGAAAUGCUUUGUGUUUCUAGUUCCGACAGUGCGGCAAUAUCUAACCAUUUCACAACAUAAACCCAAAUACACACACAUUUGUAAGGAAGGAAUGGAAUUAAGAGCAUGUAAAUAUAUAACGAGCAAAGUGAAUAUUUCCACUUUCCAUGUGCUCAUCUCUUUCAUUUCCUGAAUAUUUUUUAUCUUGUUUUCCCUUGAUUGAUUAGUUAAUUCACAAUGAUGCCACUGCCAUCACAGUAUUAUCUUCUGGUUUAUCCUCUUUUUUUUGACAUGACACAUGCAUAGUAUCAUGAUAGUACUAUACUCUUGAUUACUGUAGUUACGGCAGUUCAGUGUAAUAUUCUCUGUUCCAUGGCUAAAUGUAAUGCCUCCAGGCUUGUGAGGAGAAUCCCCUUUGAGGAUUAUCUGAAGACAUGGACAAAGAUAGCCACCACUAAAGCUGGCUCGUGGAUGAGGAAGGAAUCCCUGGAGGAUCUCAUCAAGCGCGUUGAGACCUUUGCCAUGUAUUAUGGGACACCAGACAAGGACUCUCCCAUGGGGACACAGUGUGAAACGUAAGUCUGUUAACUCUGAAAGAUGAAGAGGAGCAGUAAAUAAAUAAAUAAAUAAGAGAUUACCUCUUGGCUUGUAAGAUUGCUGGUUAAAACACACGUCUGAUUUCCCAUAGCUGCUGCCUUUCCUAAAUAUGAUUUGGGUUUUGCAUAGACUUUCCAUAAUUCACUGUUCGUUUAUAAACCAUGCUAUACAAAGGCAACAUCUCACUCAUUCAGAAAUUGAAACGUAUUGCUCCUUUUUGUUUUACUCUCAAAUAAUCAGAUGUGCUCUGUGACAGGUUCAGAACCAUAAUAACCAGAUGUGCUCUGUGACAGGUUCAGAACCAUAAUAAUCAGAUGUGCUCUGUGACAGGUUCAGAACCAUAAUAACCAGAUGUGCUCUGUGACAGGUUCAGAACCAUAAUAACCAGAUGUGCUCUGUGACAG
rnacentral:lncRNA from 1 species